AACGAACGCUGGCGGCAUGCCUAACACAUGCAAGUCGAACGAGACCUUCGGGUCUAGUGGCGCACGGGUGCGUAACGCGUGGGAACCUGCCCUUAGGUUCGGAAUAACUCCCCGAAAGGGGUGCUAAUACCGGAUAAUGUCUUCGGACCAAAGAUUUAUCGCCUUUGGAUGGGCCCGCGUUGGAUUAGCUAGUUGGUAGGGUAAAAGCCUACCAAGGCGACGAUCCAUAGCUGGUCUGAGAGGAUGAUCAGCCACACUGGGACUGAGACACGGCCCAGACACCGAAGGGAGGCAGCAGUGGGGAAUAUUGGAGAAUGGGCGAAAGCCGGAUCCAGCAAUGCCGCGUGAGUGAAGAAGGACUUAGGGUGGUAAAGCUCUUGUACCCGGGAUGAUAAUGAGAGUACAGGGAGAAUAAGCUCCGGCUAACUCAGUG
rnacentral:rRNA from 1 species